rnacentral:rRNA from 1 species
UACGGAGGGUGCAAGCGUUAUCCGGAUUCACUGGGUUUAAAGGGUGCGUAGGAGGGCAGGUAAGUCAGUGGUGAAAUCUCCGAGCUUAACUUGGAAACUGCCAUUGAUACUAUUGAUCUUGAAUACAGUUGAGGUGGGCGGAAUGUGUCGUGUAGCGGUGAAAUGCUUAGAUAUGACACAGAACACCGAUUGCGAAGGCAGCUCGCUAAACUGUGAUUGACGCUGAGGCACGAAAGCGUGGGGAUCAAACAGG